rnacentral:rRNA from 1 species
AGAGUUUGAUCCUGGCUCAGGAUGAACGCUAGCUACAGGCUUAACACAUGCAAGGUACGAGGGAAACGAUAUGGAAGCUUUGCUUCCGAUAGGCGUCGACCGGCGUACGGGUGAGUAACGCGUAUCCAACCUGCCCACCACUUGGGGAUAACCUUGCGAAAGUAAGACUAAUACCCAAUGACGUCUCUAGAAGACAUCUGAAAGAGAUUAAAGAUUUAUCGGUGAUGGAUGGGGAUGCGUCUGAUUAGCUUGUUGGCGGGGUAACGGCCCACCAAGGCGACGAUCAGUAGGGGUUCUGAGAGGAGGGCCCCCCACAUUGGAACUGAGACACGGUCCAAACUCCUACGGGAGGCAGCA